rnacentral:rRNA from 1 species
AGUGAACGCUGGCGGUAGGCCUAACACAUGCAAGUCGAACGGCAGCACAGUAAGAGCUUGCUCUUACUGGUGGCGAGUGGCGGACGGGUGAGGAAUACAUCGGAAUCUACUUUUUCGUGGGGGAUAACGUAGGGAAACUUACGCUAAUACCGCAUACGACCUACGGGUGAAAGCAGGGGAUCUUCGGACCUUUCGCGUUUCAAUUAGCCGAUGUCGGAUUAGCUAGUUGGCGGGGUAAGGGCCCACCAAGGCGACGAUCCGUAGCUGGUCUGAGAGGAUGAUCAGCCACACUGGAACUGAGACACGGUCCAGACUCCUACGGGAGGCAGCAGUGGGGAAUAUUGGACAAUGGGCGCAAGCCUGAUCCAGCCAUACCGCGUGAGUGAAGAAGGCCUUCGGGUUGUAAAGCCCUUUUGUUGGGAAAGAAAAGAAGCAGGUUAAUACCCGGAUGUUCUGACGGUACCCAAAGAAUAAGCACCGGCUAACUUCGUG